rnacentral:rRNA from 1 species
UGGGGAAUAUUGGACAAUGGGCGAAAGCCUGAUCCAGCCAUGCCGCGUGUGUGAAGAAGGUCUUCGGAUUGUAAAGCACUUUAAGUUGGGAGGAAGGGCAGUUACCUAAUACGUAUCUGUUUUGACGUUACCGACAGAAUAAGCACCGGCUAACUCUGUGCCAGCAGCCGCGGUAAUACAGAGGGUGCAAGCGUUAAUCGGAAUUACUGGGCGUAAAGCGCGCGUAGGUGGUUUGUUAAGUUGGAUGUGAAAUCCCCGGGCUCAACCUGGGAACUGCAUUCAAAACUGACAAGCUAGAGUAUGGUAGAGGGUGGUGGAAUUUCCUGUGUAGCGGUGAAAUGCGUAGAUAUAGGAAGGAACACCAGUGGCGAAGGCGACCACCUGGACUGAUACUGACGCUGAGGCACGAAAGCAUGGGGAGCAAACAGGAUUAGAUACCCGCGUAGUCCCUGAGCGGGCUGGCAAGGCGCAU